rnacentral:lncRNA from 10 species
AUGGUGAAGGGGUUUCUCUGGAUGGAUACAGGAAUAAGAAUGUGAAUCAGAGAUCGUGGCUGCCUAACUGUCUGCAAGUCUUCAUGGUGAGUGUUCGCUAGAGACAGGCUUUGCAUUUUGAAAAAAAAUGGAAGAUUCAGCAAAGUUACAAGAAAUUGCCAUGGAAGGAAAAGAAGUCUCCAAUGUCACAGGAAUCUCAAUUCGCAGGUCGAUGCCCCAGAUCAUUUGAAACAUCGCUAUUUAACUGAAGAGGAGAGAUUCAGGAAGCAGCUCUGAAAAGUUGACCAGCCUUUGCCUGAAGAAGAGUGUAGCAUGAUCAGGUUUGCUUGAAGGUUGGUGUCACUGUGACCAGCCUCAGCCAGAACAAUGCAGAACAACAGUGAACUCCUUUACCAUCCCAAAGAAAAGUUCAAACAUCAAAUCAGAGAACCACAGAAGAAGAGGAACAGGUACAAGCUAAGCGUGCUAAGAAAUAAGAAUGUGAGAGGAGGAAGCAGGAGGGAGAAGCUCAAAGGCCCUACAAAAAGAAAAAGAUGGGAAUGCUUAAAAAAAAAAAGAGAGAGAGAGAGAGAAAAUGAAGCAAAGAGACUAAAAAGGGCCAACCAAAUUUGAAUUUACAAAUGGAGUAUCUUCUUCAAAAAAUAGAAGAAAAAAGUU